AUAUUUUGGUUUUUCCCUUUUUGUAAUGAUGAACCGUAGGGUGUAUUUUUG
rnacentral:antisense_RNA from 1 species